UGUAAAAUCAGGAAUUGUAAGCAAUUCUUAGGCAAUGUGUAUAAUGUUCAUAAGUCAUCCAAGAAAUUGUUCACAAUGCCUGUAAUA
rnacentral:pre_miRNA from 1 species